GAUGAACGCUGGCGGCGUGCCUAAUACAUGCAAGUCGAGCGAACAGACGAGGAGCUUGCUCCUCUGACGUUAGCGGCGGACGGGUGAGUAACACGUGGAUAACCUACCUAUAAGACUGGGAUAACUUCGGGAAACCGGAGCUAAUACCGGAUAAUAUAUUGAACCGCAUGGUUCAAUAGUGAAAGACGGUUUUGCUGUCACUUAUAGAUGGAUCCGCGCCGCAUUAGCUAGUUGGUAAGGUAUCGGCUUACCAAGGCAACGAUGCGUAGCCGACCUGAGAGGGUGAUCGGCCACACUGGAACUGAGACGCGGUCCAGACUCCUACGGGAGGCAGCAGUAGGGAAUUUUCCGCAAUGGGCGAAAGCCUGACGGAGCAACGCCGCGUGAGUGAUGAAGGUCUUCGGAUCGUAAAACUCUGUUAUUAGGGAAGAACAAAUGUGUAAGUAACUAUGCACGUCUUGACGGUACCUAAUCAGAAAGCCACGGCUAACUACGUG
rnacentral:rRNA from 1 species